rnacentral:tRNA from 1 species
GGGCUCAUAACCCAAAGGUCGUCGGUUCGAGUCCGGCUCCCGCAA